rnacentral:pre_miRNA from 1 species
UAAAUCAAUUGAAAAUGUCAUAAAUAACAAAGUGGUAUAACUCAUCGAGAUCUAUAACUUUUAUUUUGGUCAUUUCUUCAUGCGACAAAGUGAUUUGUAACAUUGUUCAUAAAAUGUACAAAUCUCUUAUAUAGUUUCAUAACUAGAAGAGAGAGAUGUAAAUUUUAAGAAAUUGUUACUAUCACUUCGUCGGAUGAAGAAAUGACCAAAAUAGAAGUUAUAGAUCUUGAUGAGUUAUACAAUUUGUUGUUGAUGACAUUUUCAGCUAAAAUC